UACGUAGGGACCGAGCGUUGUCCGGAUUCAUUGGGCGUAAAGAGCUCGUAGGCGGGAUGGCAAGUCAGUCGUGAAAUCUCUCGGCUCAACCGAGAAACGUCGGCUGAUACUGCCGUUCUUGAGGGAUGCAGAGGAGACUGGAAUUCCCGGUGUAGCGGUGAAAUGUGUAGAGAUCGGGAGGAACACCGGUGGCGAAGGCGGGUCUCUGGGCAUCUCCUGACGCUGAGGCGCGAAAGCGUGGGGAGCAAACGGG
rnacentral:rRNA from 1 species